rnacentral:rRNA from 1 species
UACGUAGGGGGCUAGCGUUGUCCGGAAUCAUUGGGCGUAAAGCGCGUGUAGGCGGCCCGAUAAGUCCGCUGUGAAAGUCCAGGGCUCAACCCUGGGAUGCCGGUGGAUACUGUCGGGCUCGAGUCCAGAAGAGGCGAGUGGAACUCCUGGUGUAGCGGUGGAAUGCGCAGAUAUCAGGAAGAACACCAACGGCGAAGGCAGCUCGCUGGGACGGAACUGACGCUAAGGCGCGAAAGCGUGGGGAGCGAACAGG